CCUCCUUUUCUUGGCGGGAACCGGGCGUGCGGUCCUGCUUCCUGUUAUGUACGGAGGCAGAAGGAAGGGUUCUACCCCUCGGCGUCAUGUCUUCGGUGCCGGCGGUUUCCCGUCCGCCGGUUCUAUCCUCAAGCGCCGGGACACAG
ensembl:snoRNA SNORA57 small nucleolar RNA, H/ACA box 57